rnacentral:lncRNA from 1 species
UCAGUAGUUUCAGGAUUGGUCAAGUAUGGUACAAAUAGUGCUCCCUUAAGUUCCCGAGUGAGGGAAGUUCCUCGGUUGGGGACUUGCAAGAUCUAAGCCAUUGAGUAAUCAAGAAACUUUUAAGUACCGAAGUGUGCUAUCAUUUUCACUUGCCUUAUCUGUCUCAUAUGUAGAUGUGGCAUCUUCUCUGGAAGUACUUUUCCUCC